CCGCUUCAUGGAGAGCCACCUUUGCCUCCAGUUCCUGCUGGUGAAGCACACGACCUUUGUGCAAUCGGACCUGUCAGAUAUCUCCAAGCUUUUUGUGACUUACCUUUAAAAAAAAAAAAAAAGUGUCGUCUUUAAACGUAGGUGCCAGCAUAGGCACACGCGUCCUGAGGCAAAUGCUCGUGAGAAGUGACAUGUAAGACGAUUUGGGUCGGUAUCCGGAAUUCUGUUGCCGGUUUCUUCCCUUGGUUAGGGAGGCACCUGUAUGCCUAAACCUCAGGUGCAAUGUGGUGCCUGCCUGGGGAACGAGGAGGCACAGAGGAGAAAGAAGGGGUAAAGAGCCAGCCUUCGCAUGGUAUAUGCUGAUGGUGCAAAACCCUGCUCGCCAACUCUCCGCGUAUUUCCUAGACUAAAGUGAAAAGCAAAGAGGCGGUGUUUUUAUUUACAAGCUCCAAGAAUAAGAGGUUGAGAAUGGCAGCUUCCUAAUACACCUCCCCGGCACUGUGUGACUGGCGUGGAUGAUGGAGACGACAUUCUCUUGUCCUAUGAUAGUCUCCACAAAGAUGAAGUUUUCAAGGUAUCCAUUUUAUUCACAGGUGAAGAACCGAGCUGCACGAUGAAGAGACUGCAGAGAGCAGAGGAUUCAUUUCAACAGGAAGCCCCUGGGGUUUGGUGCCUACCAGGGUACUUUGCACAGACACGAGUGUUAUGAAGGUUUCAUCCCAAAUCUAACGAAGAAAAAUAUAGAUUUCCAGAAAACACAGGAGGUAUUCACAGGAGUUUGGCAUUGCAUUGCGGCUAUUAACAAGGUGGAUCUUGGUGGGGUUUGUGAGCUUCAUGGCCAGUGAAGAGGCACCGUGGAGAAGCGUUGACUUCGGAGCCCCAGGAGGUGUGGUGUCAGAAGUGUCAUCCUGAAGAAAGACAAUACUGUGCAUCAAAGGUGUCCUGUCUCACUGUGCUUUCAAGGGAGCCUUAAACUGAGUUGCAAAUACUUUGGUUAAGCUAAACCAAAGGGUCACAUAUAAUUUCUGAAAACACAGGUAUCAAAUACCUGAUGGAUAUAUUAAUAAAAAGUACAUGUAAGCAAUGAGGAGAGUUGAAACUCCGACCAGUAGAUUCUUGAUUCUUUGAUAUGAUUAAGGAUAUGGGCAAUGGAGAAUGCACUGAACAAAUAAUCAGGAAACCUAGACAUGAAUCUCACUUUGUCUAAUAAAUUUAGCAGAGUCUCUGGGUCUCAGUCAUAUUGCACAUAAAAUGAGGGAAGCGUUGCCUGUGUCCAGGAUU